rnacentral:rRNA from 1 species
UAGGCAAGGUGUGGAAGCGCAGUAAUGCGUGAAGCUAACUUGUACUAAUUGGCUGAUUGUCUUGACCAUAUAAUCUGAG